UACGGGGGGGGCAAGCGUUGUUCGGAAUUACUGGGCGUAAAGGGCUCGUAGGUGGCCAACUAAGUCAGACGUGAAAUCCCUCGGCUUAACCGGGGAACUGCGUCUGAUACUGGAUGGCUUGAGUUCGGGAGAGGGAUGCGGAAUUCCAGGUGUAGCGGUGAAAUGCGUAGAUAUCUGGAGGAACACCGAUGGCGAAGGCAGCCCCCUGGGCUAACACUGACGCUCAGGCACGAAAGCGUGGGGAGCAAACAGG
rnacentral:rRNA from 1 species